rnacentral:rRNA from 1 species
UACGAAGGGUGCAAGCGUUAUUCGGAAUCAUUGGGCGUAAAGCGAGCGUAGGCGGCCCGAUAAGUCUGCUGUAAAAGUCAACGGCUCAACCGUUGAAAGCCGGUGGAUACUGUCGGGCUAGAGUUCGGAAGAGGCAAGUGGAAUUCCUGGUGUAGCGGUGGAAUGCGCAGAUAUCAGGAGGAACACCUAUAGCGAAGGCAGCUUGCUGGGACGAUACUGACGCUAAGGCUCGAAAGCGUGGGGAGCGAACAGG